rnacentral:rRNA from 1 species
GGGGAAUAUUGGACAAUGGGCGAAAGCCUGAUCCAGCCAUGCCGCGUGAGUGAUGAAGGCCCUAGGGUUGUAAAGCUCUUUCAACGGUGAAGAUAAUGACGGUAACCGUAGAAGAAGCCCCGGCUAACUUCGUGCCAGCAGCCGCGGUAAUACGAAGGGGGCUAGCGUUGUUCGGAAUUACUGGGCGUAAAGCGCACGUAGGCGGACAUUUAAGUCAGGGGUGAAUCCCGGGGCUCAACCCCGGAACUGCCUUUGAUACUGGGUGUAUAGAGUCCGGAAGAGGUGAGUGGAAUUCCGAGUGUAGAGGUGAAAUUCGUAGAUAUUCGGAGGAACACCAGUGGCGAAGGCGGCUCACUGGUCCGGUACUGACGCUGAGGUGCGAAAGCGUGGGGAGCAAACA